AGUCGGGAUGAGGGAGGAGCUUCACAAACUCCGAGUCCUGUUACUGAAAGUUGCAGAUUUGGGAGUGAAAGAGAAGCUGAAGCUCGAUCUACUGUCACUUUCUCGUUGCAGAUCUUUCUAAAGGACGCGCACUUUCGUUCAUCUUAUUGCACAGGGUCACGCUCUCAGGACUGAAGCAUGGAUGAUGAUUUCGAACGGCGCCGGGAGCUCAGGAGACAAAAGCGCGAGGAGAUGCGUCUGGAGGCAGAGAGGAUGGCGAACCGAAGGAGCGAGGAGGAUGAGGAGGAGGCCGCCCGUGAGCGCCGGAGGAGAGCACGACAGGAGAAAUUCCGCGGGAAAGAUAGCGAGGAUGUGCCGUACCAGCCUGACAACACAGAGCUCAACAACAGCCACAGCGUGACUGUGACUGAGACCGUGUCCUCCUCCGUGGUGACCUCCAGCAGACCUGAAGAUGAGGACGAGGAGGAGCAGGCCCUGCAGGAGCGUCUGGCUAAGAGAGAGGAGCGCAGGCAGAGAAGAAUGAUGGAGGCGCUGGACAGACAGAGAGAGAUAGAGAGCCCAACCUCUCACUACGGUCUGGAGGAGAGCGGCGGCGGCCUGCAGCGUGGGCGGAGCUACGAGGCCGAGGAAGAGGUGAACAGCAAGGAGGUGGAGAGAGAGGAGGAGAAAGAGCAGGACAUUCCUAGAGAGGAGGUUGUCGUGGAAAAGCCUCAGAGGUCUUACCUGAGGGGACAGGAAUCCGUAGAGGAAACUUCUAACCUAGCUGAUGAGGGCGAGCAGUGCGGCUCGCCGCCUUUCUCCCGAGAAAAUGAGGUGAUUUUAAAUGAAGUGGCAGAUGAUUCUGCGGUUGUUUUGGAGACGGAGUCGGAAAAUGGCACUGCGGGUGUACGGGAGGAAAAGAGAGAGGUUGAGAGAGAGGGGUUGACAGAGAAUGGAUUGCAUGAGGCGAGAGAGGCAGAAAGAAAGAGAAAAGAGAAAGAAGAGACCAAGCUUGCUGAGAAUGAGGAGGUUUUGACGGAGGAUGAAGACUUGAUGAGGAAGAACAAACAGCCGAAUGGAGCGGUGUGUGAUGAGAGUCCUCCCAAACACAAGAAUGCAGAGAGGACCUUCAGCCGAGGCAGCCUGCGUUCUACCGAGGCACCCGAGACGGAUGAGGCGGACAGCGAGGACGCUCGCCUGGAGGCCGAGAGAAAGCUGGAAGAGCUGAAGAGGAGGCGAGAUGAGAUGGAGAGCGAGGAGUUCGAGAAGAUGAGACAGAAGCAGCAGGAGGCCGAAGUGGAGCUGGAGGAGCUGAAGAGGAAGAGGGAGGAAAGGAGGAAGGUGCUGGAAGAGGAGGAGCGGAGGAGGAAGCAGGAGGAGGCCGAGAGGAAAUCCAAAGACGAGGAGGAGAAGAGACGGAUGAAGGAGGACAUCGAGAAGCGGAGAGCCGACGCGGCCGAGAGGAGGCAGAAGGUGGAUGAUUCGGUGGAGGGAGAGGCCAGGAAGCCUUUCAAAUGCGUCAGCCCCAGAGGAUCAUCGCUGAAGAUCGGUGAGAGAGCGGAGUUCCUCAACAGAUCAGCACAGAGAAGCUCAGUGAAGGCGUCUCACACUCCUGUGGUAUCUAAGAUUGAUAACAGAUUGGAGCAAUACACCAGCGCCGUGCAGACCAACCAAGAGGUGAAAUCUCCCCGAUCAGGUGCUAUUGAUCUUCCUAUGGUGACGGACGGUAUUCGUAACAUUAAGAGCAUGUGGGAGAAGGGGAAUGUCUUCGCCUCUGGCGGGAGCCCGGCAUCCACCAACAAGGAUGCAGCUGUGAUAAAAGUGGGCGUUGCUGGGCGCAUCAACGAUUGGUUGAACAAAACUCCAGAGACGGGCAAGACAUCAGGAGGAAGACCAGCGAUUUGUUUUGCUUCUCGGUCCGUCCGUCUUCUUUUCCUCCGGGGCUUCUUCCUACUCCUUUUCUUUUGCUCUUUCUCUCUCUGCUUCAUAUAAGGACCUGAAGCCCGGUGACGUGACCAGCAAGCGCAAUCUAUGGGAAAACAAAGGUUCCCCUGCUACUAAGACUUGCUAAUUGCCUACAGAUCUGACUGACCUGAGGAGACGAGCAGAGAAGAGACGAAAUCCGUCACCAACGGAAUGGGUCAUUAACCCUUCACAGAUCCAGGAGAGGCAGGGACCAAGAGAAUGCACAACAUUCCUUUUUGAAACUUUUUAUAAACGUAAUAAUACCAAAAAAAAAUGCACGCAUUUUAUACUGUCCAGGAAUAUCUAUGUGAGUUGAUACAGUAUAAAAGAGAGAGAAAAGUAUAUAUUUGUUCACUUUUCACAGUCCAGCGUCUUGCACCAUAAUGUCUUUAAUGUCGUGCUUUUGCACAGAACUUCCUAUGAGAUGAAAUUUAGGCUGUGGAAAUUCAGCUUGAAUUUUAUCGUUUAGAUUUUACCAUAUAAAUAUAGUAUAUAUAUAGCAGCCAGCUCUAAACAUUCCAAGAUUCCUUGUGUAGAAGAACAAGGCGUAACAUUCCAAAAUAGUUUUUUGUCUUUUAGUCACCCUUUUCACCUAAUUUAUAACUAAAGCGAAGCUUCGCGUCACAUUUCAUAUUCGCCAGUUUCAGACAGAAUAUGAGCACCCGUAGAGUUUUCUGUACGUUUUUUUUUUAAAUGGUCUUAAUAAUAUAUGUUAGCACAUAGUGAACGUUUUUGUAAUUUUCUUUAUACUUUACUGCUCGAUACAUGAUGGCGUCUUCGCUUCCGCUCUCAAUAUUUAAUCAAAUCAAAGCAACUUGUAAAUCAGCAGAAGAACAUUACCAUUAUCAUUAUUACAUUAUCUUGAGCUUUUUUACUCUUUGAUACACUGUUCUAAAGAUUUUUGUGAUCCUCUUGCUAAGUGUUAAUAACUGUGUCUGUAUUCACAAGAAGCAGUUUAACUGUUUUUUAGAACUCUGAACGAAGGGAAUGUACACUUUUGGGCCUAAAUCAACAAUAUUCGACUUACUAAAUUUGCAUUUAUGCACAGUCAACUAAGACUUUGGUUACUAAUCCCACCCCUGUUGGAAAAACCACUUGAGGCCAGUUUGAUUUGACAUGUUUUAUGCUGGUUUUUACAUCGUCUUGCUGGUUUUCAGCAGGAAUUUGGGUCUGAAGGUCAGAGCAAAACCUUUUUAAAGUGGGUAAAUAAGCCCAAUUCAUGAUUCAUUUUGUAUGGUCUACUUUUUGCAACAGUUCUGCAUUUUACUUUGACUUCUACAGUGCUGGUUUGCAAAGCAUUGUUUGUUAUUUGCAAGUAAAUGUUGUCAUUUCUCAUGUAUCUGACAUCUUUGUCAGACAAAGAAUAUUCAGUUCUGCCGACGCAAUGUUUAAAUAUUCUGUUUUUCCGACAAUCAUGUUUGUUUCGUCUUCCUAACACGUAUUGUUUUCUGAAUAGCGCUAUGCAAGUCGUACCACCUUUAAUUACAAGAACCUUGUUAAAACUAUGACUAAUUGUAGCCGACAUUUUCCUACAAAGCAAAUGUUUGAAGAAUAUAUCACGUCUCAGCAACCACAAUAAAGAGAUCCAUGAAAACCCUG